rnacentral:rRNA from 1 species
CCCUGGCUCAGGAUGAACGCAGGCGGCGUGCUUAACACAUGCAAGUCGAACGAUGAUCCCAGCUUGCUGGGGGAUUAGUGGCGAACGGGUGAGUAACACGUGAGUAACCUGCCCUUAACUCUGGGAUAAGCCUGGGAAACUGGGUCUAAUACCGGAUAUGACUCCUCAUCGCAUGGUGGGGGGUGGAAAGCUUUAUUGUGGUUUUGGAUGGACUCGCGGCCUAUCAGCUUGUUGGUGAGGUAAUGGCUCACCAAGGCGACGACGGGUAGCCGGCCUGAGAGGGUGACCGGCCACACUGGGACUGAGACACGGCCCAGACUCCUACGGGAGGCAGCAGUGGGGAAUAUUGCACAAUGGGCGAAAGCCUGAUGCAGCGACGCCGCGUGAGGGAUGACGGCCUUCGGGUUGUAAACCUCUUUCAGUAGGGAAGAAGCGAAAGUGAGCGGUACCUGCAGAAGAAGCGCCGGCUAA